UUCGCAAUGCCCGAAAGGGUGACGAAGCGACGCCGCGUGCGGGAAGAAGGCCUUCGGGUUGUAAACCGCUGUCGGGAGUUAAGAAAUGCAAGGAUAUUAAUAGUGUCUUUGCUUGACUAAGGCUCCGGAGGAAGCCACGGCUAACUCUGUGCCAGCAGCCGCGGUAAUACAGAGGCGGCAAGCGUUGUUCGGAAUUAUUGGGCGUAAAGAGCACGUAGGCGGCUGUGUAAGUCGGUUGUGAAAGCCUUCCGCUCAACGGGAGAACGGCAUCCGAUACUGCAUGGCUUGAGUGCGGGAGGGGAGAGUGGAACUUCUGGUGGAGCGGUGAAAUGCGUAGAUAUCAGAAGGAACGCCGGCGGCGAAAGCGGCUCUCUGGCCCGUAACUGACGCUGAGUGUGCGAAAGCUAGGGGAGCAAACGGGAUUAGAUACCCCGGUAGUCCUAGCCGUAAACGAUGGGCACUAAGUAGAGGGGUUUU
rnacentral:rRNA from 1 species